UACGGAGGGGGCAAGCGUUACUCGGAAUUAUUGGGCGUAAAGGGCGCGUAGGCGGUCCCGCGCGUCGGAGGUGAAAUCCCCGGGCUCAACCCGGGCACUGCCUCCGAUACGGCGGGACUGGAGUCCGGGAGAGGAGAGCGGAAUUCCCAGUGUAGCGGUGAAAUGCGUAGAUAUUGGGAGGAACACCAGUGGCGAAGGCGGCUCUCUGGACCGGUACUGACGCUGAGGCGCGAAAGCAUGGGGAGCAAAC
rnacentral:rRNA from 1 species